rnacentral:rRNA from 1 species
CUGAUUUUAAGUUUAACUAAUAGGAUUAGAUUGAAUAUUAAUGUAGGCAAAUCAUUGUGAAGGGUGAAGUUUAGUAGUGGGUAAUGAUAAAAUUAGAGAGUAAUAGUUAAAGUACCGAGAGGGAAUAUUGAAAUAAUUAGAGCAAGCAGUAAAGUAGGUGGUUGCCGUACCUUGUGUAUCAGGGCUUACCUAUUAGAUCGAAAGAAUUUAAAAUCCCGAAGUGANGAGAGGGCUAAAUUUUUAUGUUUUAUAAGGUAGUAAACUUAUAUAAAAUAAGAAUUUAGGGAUGAAAUAUUAAUCGGUCUUUAAGAUAUCUAGUUUCUCAAGAAAUGAAUUUAAUUCAGGUAUUUUAUUAUAAAUUAAUUUUUAUAGGGUAACUGGCUUUAAAAAGAGUAAUGUCGUGGGGGAUGAGCUCCGCGAUAAAACUAUAACUAAUAUCAUGAAAAGUUAAGUAGGCUUGAAAUUAGCCACCUGGGGAGUAUGUUUUAAUUCAGCUUUAUCAAAAAUGAUUUUAAUUAGUUUAGGGCUUGUAUUGGGAUGUAUACUUAAAUGUUAAAGUAUAGAAAUAAUGAUAAGAUUAGUAAAAAUUAAGGUAGAGUGAUUUAAUGGGCAGAUUUAAGUAAGGAACUCGGCAAAAUUGUGCUCGCCUGUUUAUCAAAAACAUCGCCUCUCGGGGUGAUGAGAGGUCUGACCUGCCCACUGAUAGUUGAAGGGCCGCGGUAUUUUGACCGUGCAAAGGUAGCAUAAUCAUUAGUCUUCUAAUUAAAGGCUGGAAUGAAUGGUUGGACGAGGUACAAGCUGUCUCACUUGAAACAUAAUUGAAUUUAACUUCUUAGUGAAAAGGCUGAGAUGGAGUUGGAGGACGAGAAGACCCUAUAGAUCUUUAUAAUGUAUAAUUUCAGCGGGUUUGGAAUGAAUUUGGCUGGGCUUAAAAAUUAUUUUGUUGGGGUGACGGGAAAAUAAUAAUAACUUUUCUUUAUUGGGUACAUAGAUUUAUGAAUGAAUGAUCCGUUAAACGAUUAUAAGACUAAGUUACCUUAGGGAUAACAGCGUAAUCUUCUUCGAGAGUUCUAAUCGACAAGAAGGGUUGCGACCUCGAUGUUGGAUUAAGAGAUACUUUGGGUGCAGAAGUUCAAAGUUUAGGUCUGUUCGACCUUUUAACUCUUACAUGAUCUGAGUUCAGACCGGCGCAAGCCAGGUCGGUUUCUAUCCUCAAUUAAAUUCUGCGCCUUAGUACGAAAGGACCGGGCCCGAGAGUUAAACUUUUAAAGUUGAAUAAUAAUA